rnacentral:SRP_RNA from 1 species
GCAGGGCGUGGUGGCGCACGCCUGUAAUCCCAGCUACUUGAGAGGCUGAGACAAGAGGAUCUCAAGUCCUGAAGUUCUGGGCAGUAGUGCGCUAUGCAGAUUGGGUGUCCGAACUAAGUUUAGCAUCAAUAUGGCGACGUCCUGGGAGCGGGAGACCACCAGGUGGUCUAAGGCGUGUGUGUGUGUGUGUGUGUGUGUGUGUGAGAGAGAGAGAGAGAGAGAGAGAGAGAGAGAGAGAGAGAGAGAGAGAGAGAAAGAGAGAGAGAAAGAACCGGCCCAGGUAGGAAACAGAGCGGGUCAAAACUCCUGUACUGAUCAGUAGUGGGAUCGUGCCUGUGAAUAGUCCCUGCAAUCCAGCCUCUGGGGGACAACAUAGCGAGACCCGUCUCUU